rnacentral:tRNA from 1 species
GGAGGUAUGGCUCAGAGGUAGAGUGUCUGCAUAGCAAGCAGCAAGUUCUGAGUUCAAACCCUAGUUCUACCA